CCUUACCAAGGUUUGACAUCCUGGGAAAGUCCCUGAAAGGGGACCGUGCCUUCGGGAAUCCAGUGACAGGUGUUGCAUGGCCGUCGUCAGCUCGUGUCGUGAGAUGUUUGGUUAAGUCCAUCAACGAGCGCAACCCUUAUAGUUAGUUGGAUUUUUCUAGCUAGACUGCCCCGGUAACGGGGAGGAAGGAGGGGAUGAUGUCAGGUCAGUAUUACCCUACACCUUGGGCUACAAACACGCUACAAUGGCCGGUACAAAGGGCUGCUAAGUCGCGAGGCGGAGCAAAUCCCAUCAAAGCCGGUCUCAGUUCGGAUUGCAGGCUGAAACUCGCCUGCAUGAAGCUGGAAUCGCUAGUAACGGUAGGUCAGCUACACUACCGUGAAUACGUUCCCGGGUCUUGUACACACCG
rnacentral:rRNA from 1 species